AUCUAUCCCUUUGAUCCAUCGCCUGUGUCCCCUCCGCCACUCCAUCGCGCGCGGAGGCCAAGCGCCUCCGGCGCCGCCGCCGCUUCCUCCCGGCGGUGCUGCCUCCAGGCGCCACCGACGCUUCCUCCCCACGGCGCUGCCCCAGGUGCCGCCUCUUCCUCCCCACGCUGCGCCGCCCUUCUUCGUGCCACCGCCGCCGCCUCUCCGCUUCGCAGCGCCGGCGCCGACUCCACCUCAAUACGCCAUCACCAGUCGCCCUAGCCCCCACGUCCACCUUCACAGCCGCCCUAGCCCCUUCCUCCGCCACCCGCACCAGCCACCCUAGCCCCCAGUCCCCCACCUCCGCCACCCCCACCUCCACCUCCACCACCCCACACCUCCGCUGCUUCCUCGAGCUCAGCCUCCCCUUACCCCUUCACCCCCAAUCCCUUCCUAAAAAAUCAGGGAAGUGUUCAAGAGCCUCUAAGCAAGUUAUAUGGGUAUUGAAUGAUUGAAGACCACGGGUGUUCGCAUGCAGCAAGACAACAUCAUUUGAAAGGAAGACAUCAAGAAUUGACUUUGGCUGUUUGUAGAGCCCACCAUGUGAAGAACAAGAACUUGCUAUUGGGAGUCAUGAUAGUGAUAUUGAGGCUGACUGUGCUCAUUUGCAAGAAGUGCUUUUCAAUUACAAUGAAAACAUUGUGCACAGAAGAGUUGUACAAAGGGGAACUUCACGAUGUGUUUCUGUCACUCCAAGAGGCCGCACAACCUCUUGCAAUGAAGAUGAAAGCCUUGUUGGCAAGGAUGUUAUACUCUAUGCUGUCACAAGAAAUGAUGUCCCAGUAGCCAAGGCAACAAUUGUCUCAACGAACCCAAUAACAACAGUGGGAGGUCAAGCUCUUGGAGUCCAAUACUAUGAGGUGGUUGUGAAUGUGGUGUUAAAGAGGGACACCGUGCUUCCUUGUCCAUUUCGUAUUAAAACUAUGGCUGAUGCGUAAAUGCUGUCUAUUGCAUGGCCAAAUAACAAAAUCAGGGCAAACAAGAGGCCAGGUAUCUCCCAAUGCGGAGGUGGAGGUUCUGGAAGGACAUAGAGGUGGACCUUGUCUUAUGUUGACAACAAGCUAUGGAGGAUGACCUUGUUUUGGGGGCAAGACAAGGUCAUCCUUUUGUAAUGGAGUUUGCUACAGAGGCGAACUUGUUGGGAAAUGCCAACAUACUGCAUGUAAUGGAGUUUGCUUCAGGAUAGAUAUGGUGGAACUUGGAUGAAAUGUAAAUCUUUUGGACACCUGUUGUAUCUAUGCCACAUGCGUACUGCAUGCAUGUAUGCUUGAAUUAAUCUGUGAAUGAAUUAAAGUUAGUCACUAUUUUGAUUUGAA